rnacentral:rRNA from 1 species
UUCGGUUGAUCCUGCCGGAGGCUACCGCUAUUGGAGUUCGAUUAAGCCAUGCGAGUCGCGAGAAAUUAGAUUCUCGGCGUACCGCUCAGUAACACGUGGGUAACCUGCCCUAUGCUGGAUAAUAACCUCGGGAAACUGAGAAUAAUGAUCCAUAGUUCACUACGCCUGGAACGGUGAGUGGAUGAAAGCUCCGGCGGCAUAGGAUGGGCCUGCGGCGUAUCAGGUUGUAGGGGGUGUAACGUACCCUCUAGCCCUCUACGCGUACGGGUGUUGGGAGACAUAGCCCGGAGAUGGAUUCUGAGACACGAAUCCAGACCCUACGGGGUGCAGCAGGCGCGAAAACUUGGCAAUGCGAGAAAUCGUGACCAGGGAACUCCAAGUGCAUGGGGUAAGACCCAUGCUUUUCUUGACUCUAAAUAGGUCUUGGAAUAAGGGGUGGGUAAGGACGGUGCCAGCCGCCGCGGUAAUACCGGCGCCUCAAGUGGUAGUCGCUUUUAUUGGGCCUAAAACGUCCGUAGCCGGUCUGAUACAUUCGUGGGUAAAUCAACCAGCUUAACUGGUUGAAUUCUGCGAGGACGGUCAGACUUGGGACCGGGAGAGGUGUGGGGUACGCUCAGGGUAGGGGUAAAAUCCUGUCAUCCUGAGCGGACCACCUGUUGCGAAGGCGCCACACUAGAACGGAUCCGACGGUCAGGGACGAAGCCUAGGGGCACGAACCGGAUUAGAUACCCGGGUAGUCCUAGGUGUAAACGCUGUGGACUUGAUGUUGGGGGUGCUCCGAGCACUCUCAGUGUCGAAGCGAAGGUGAUAAGUCCACUGCCUGGGAAGUACGGUCGCAAGGCUGAAACUUAAAGGAAUUGGCGGGGGAGCACCGCAACCUGAGGAUUGUGCGGUUUAAUUGGAUUCAACGCCGG